rnacentral:rRNA from 1 species
UACGUAGGUGGCAAGCGUUGUCCGGAUUUACUGGGCGUAAAGAGCGCGCAGGCGGUUCAUCAAGUCGAAUGUGAAAGCCCCCGGCUCAACUGGGGAGGGUCAUUCGAUACUGCUGGACUUGAAGGCAGGAGAGGGAAGUGGAAUUCCCGGUGUAGUGGUGAAAUGCGUAGAUAUCGGGAGGAACACCAGUGGCGAAGGCGGCGCUCUGGCUCGCAACUGACGCUCAGACACGACAGCAUGGGGAGCGAACGGG